AACGAACGCUGGCGGCAGGCCUAACACAUGCAAGUCGAGCGGACCUUUCGGGGUCAGCGGCGGACGGGUGAGUAACGCGUGGGAAUAUGCCCUUCUCUACGGAAUAGUCCUGGGAAACUGGGGGUAAUACCGUAUACGCCCUUUGGGGGAAAGAUUUAUCGGGGAAGGAUUAGCCCGCGUUGGAUUAGGUAGUUGGUGGGGUAAUGGCCUACCAAGCCGACGAUCCAUAGCUGGUUGGAGAGGAUGAUCAGCCACACUGGGACUGAGACACGGCCCAGACUCCUACGGGAGGCAGCAGUGGGGAAUCUUAGACAAUGGGGGCAACCCUGAUCUAGCCAUGCCGCGUGAGUGAUGAAGGCCUUAGGGUUGUAAAGCUCUUUCAGCUGGGAAGAUAAUGACGGUACCAGCAGAAGAAGCCCCGGCUAACUCCGUG
rnacentral:rRNA from 1 species